UACGAAGGGGGCUAGCGUUGCUCGGAAUCACUGGGCGUAAAGCGCACGUAGGCGGCUUUUUAAGUCAGGGGUGAAAUCCUGGAGCUUAACUCCAGAACUGCCUUUGAUACUGAGGAGCUAGAGUCCGGAAGAGGUGAGUGGAACUGCGAGUGUAGAGGUGAAAUUCGUAGAUAUUCGCAAGAACACCAGUGGCGAAGGCGGCUCACUGGCCCGGUACUGACGCUGAGGUGCGAAAGCGUGGGGAGCAAACAGG
rnacentral:rRNA from 1 species